UUUGUACACUAUGUAUGUAAUGCAGUACUGUGUUCUAAAUUUAACUUGCUGUAACAUACAUUGUAAGAUAUCGUUGCAAUUAUGAUGCAGUUUUAGACUGUUUUUUUUAUAUUAAAUAUUGAUCUUACGUCACAGAAUCGCAGGAUUUCCCAGAAUUGUCGUGUGUGGUGAGGUACUUGUUGUAAACAGUGAUCGACCAUAAACCUCCAGUCAUACCACUGGAAAACAUGGGGCUCACAGAUGUAGCUUUCACCAUAAAAUUAGCUUUUUAUUUUACAUUAUUUGGAUUUGUUCUCCAUACAAUAAAUAGGCUUUGGAGCACCCUACUGGGCUACAGGAUAUAACAGACAUGCUGGACUGUGGCAAUUUUGCUCUAGAUCUACAGGAGUAUGUGUUACCAUAGAUAUAUCUUUAAUGAACCGUACACAGGUUGACAAAUUCUUAGCAGUACAAGUGCUGGAAUGUUUUGGAUUGGUCGGAUCUAUAGUCUGUUUGAUAUCUAUUUGUAUUUUGAUAUUUGGUGGAAGGUGUUCCCAAAAUAGAUUCAUCACCAUCUGUAAUAUAUUCUUAUUCUUAGCAACUGGUACUGUAAUCGUGAUUGCCACUAUAAUGUUCGCCACCAUGAUAAGUGAUUUAGAUUGGGCAUUUGGUCUGGCCACUGUUGGUGGAGUUUGUUUAAGUCUUGCCGGAAUAUGUCACGUCGUUUUCCUUUGCCAAUACGAAUAACAAGUAAGGUAAUUUGUUUGGUUGGUAUCAUUCUUCAGACAAGUUUGCUGUUUGGCGGAAUUAAAUAAACGAUUACAAUAUAUUCAUAUGGAAGACGAAAGACGUAUACUCCGGGGAGUAUCAAGCAUCAUGAGUCGGAAACCUUCAAAGGACAAAAGACGGAAAGAAAACGGUCGACAAAACUCGACGAAACCUCUUAUUCUUAAAACCAGUCAGCGAUCCCCGAGCUUCUAGACUCUCAAGGAUACGUUAAUUCUAGAAAAGAAAAACAUUCAUACAAACCAGUACAUGUACAAUGUAAGAUUGAGUAAUAGCAUUCAGUUUUUUUUUUUUUGGGGGGGGGACUCAGUCUUGCUCGUGUGGAUAGUUGUCUACCACAUCUCCUUAUUUUUACAUACAAACUCAACAAAGUCAAAUAUAUAUAAUAUUUCGUCAUUUUGCUGAUUUUAGUUUUCAUAUCAACUUUAAUGUAUAAAAUGCCUUUAGACUGCUCAUACUGACGGAGGAUCAUAAAAUGCCUUUAGACUGCUUAUACUGACGGAGGAUCAUUUGUUAUCUGAAAUAUUUAUUGACUUUUGUAUUUAUUGUUUUAUUUUUGUAUAAUUGUUUUGGUGUUAUUGCAAACAUUUUAGACUAUUUUUUUAUCACUUAUAUCUGACACCCUAAUAAGAAGAAUUAUAGACUUUCUUUACUAAUGUAGGACUCUGAACCGUAAUGACCACGCUGAUUUCAAUCUCCCAUACAGACAGAGUUGUCGUCCUGUCCCCAAGGUUGCAGUAUUGUAAUUGACUGCCCAAUAGGCUGACAUGCAAAACAUCUGAUCUUUGAAAAUAAAAAGAUAAAAAAUGCUACAUAGAAAAAACAAUUCAUGUUCAUAUCAUGUAUGUACUAAUGUGAAAUUGUGAUUUAAUCGAA